AUUAUGUAUGAGUGUGUAUGUGUGUGUAUGAGUGUGUGUGUCUGCACUGAAGCUGGGGGAAGGCAGGCUGGGUGCUGGCACUGGGUGAGUGGUAAUGACAGGAAGUCGAGGGAGGAGGGUGCUGACCCGCAGGGCGGGAGCUGGCACUCUGAUUUCCGGCACUGGUGUGGCUAAGGCAAUAGUAAGAGACACCAUGACUUCCAAAGCUUCCAAAGAGGAAAACCUGAAGCUCCUGGGGGAAUGUGGCUGUCAAUGUGCCACCACCCCUGGAGACCACCCUGCACCAGGCAGAGAGGUGAAGGACAGGUGACACUCCAGGCAAUGCUCAAGGCUCUGUCGGGCCUCUCUAUGUAACUGUGGCUACCCUGACACUUGAUAUGGAGAUGAAAUUGACCUUGAACUCAAAGAUCCACCUGCCUCUGCCUCCUGAACACUGGGAUUAAAGGGGUGUCACUACCCAGCUAGUGUUGGGAUUCUUUUCAUGACAAUGUCUAACAAGCACAUAUGGAGAGAGCAGGAGGCAAAGUCCAUCUCCUUAGUUUAGUAUCACUGUGCAUUCACGGAGCAGAACUUGUGUGCCCAAGACAGGGAUAGGGGCUGUGCUGCAGGAGGGACUAAAGGUGGACUGCAGGAAGAACUUCCCAGGGAAAAAGACACCUGCUGACUGGAACUGGUGGUCUCUUCUGUGAAGGACACAGCAUCUGCUGAGAACCACCUGUGCAGCCCCAUCCUGAGCACCAGCCUGGCCCUUGGGUUGGGAAGUGGGUGUUCCUGACAGCCCCGGAGAAGGGAUGCCCGGAUGCCUGCUGGAGAUGCUGGAGACGCUGGGUGGAGAGACAUACGUUGACUUUGCAUAUUUUGGGGAACCCCUUAAGAACUUUGGACAGGGGCUGGAGAGAUGGCUCAGUGGUUAGGAGCACUGACUGC
rnacentral:sRNA from 1 species